CUCAACAGAAGAUGGGUGUUGCAACAGGACAAUGACCCAAAGCAUAGAAGUAAAUCAACAACAGAAUUGCUUAAACAGAAGAAAAAACACCUUCUGAAGAGGCCCAGUCAGAGUCCUGACCUCAACCCGAUUGAGAUGCUGUGGCAUGACCUCAAGAAAGCGAUUCACACCAGACAUCCCAAGAAUAUUGCUGAACUGAAACAGUUCUGUAAAGAGGAAUGGUCAAGAAUUUCUCCUGACCGUUGUGCACGUCUGAUCUGCAACUACAGGAAACGUUUGGUUGAAGUUAUUGCUGCCAAAGGAGGUUCAACCAGUUAUUAAAUCCAAGG